GCUGUGAUGGCCGAGUCUUUAAGGCGUUGGACUUAAAAUCCAAUGGGGUUUCCCCCCGCAGGUUCAAAUCCUGCUCACAGUG
rnacentral:tRNA from 2 species